rnacentral:rRNA from 1 species
CCCUUAGAUGUUCUGGGCCGCACGCGUGCUACACUGAGUGGAUCAGCGGGUCAGGUUGCGCGAAAGUGUUUCCUAAUCUUGAAAUCCGCUCGUGAUGGGGAUUGACGGUUGCAAUUUUCCGUCAUGAACGAGGAAUACCUUGUAAGCGCGGGUCAUCAUCCCGCGCUGAAUACGUCCCUGCCCUUUGUACACACCGCCCGUCGCUCCUACCGAUUGAGUGGUCCGGUGAGGCUUUGGGAUCUGAGCGGAAAGAGCGUUUCGCUGUUUCUGCUCGGAAAACUCAGUCGAACCUUAUCAUUUAGAGGGAGGAGAAUUCGUAACA